UGGGGAAUAUUGGACAAUGGGCGAAAGCCUGAUCCAGCAAUGCCGCGUGGGUGAAGAAGGUCUUCGGAUUGUAAAGCCCUUUCGGCGGGGACGAUGAUGACGGUACCCGCAGAAGAAGCCCCGGCUAACUUCGUGCCAGCAGCCGCGGUAAUACGAAGGGGGCUAGCGUUACUCGGAUUGACUGGGCGUAAAGGGCGCGUAGGCGGCUUGUACAGUCAGGCGUGAAAUUCCUGGGCUCAACCUGGGGGCUGCGUUUGAUACGUGCGGGCUUGAGUUCGGAAGAGGGUCGUGGAAUUCCCAGUGUAGAGGUGAAAUUCGUAGAUAUUGGGAAGAACACCGGUGGCGAAGGCGGCGACCUGGUCCGAUACUGACGCUGAGGCGCGAAAGCGUGGGGAGCAAACAGGAUUAGAUACCCUGGUAGUCCACGCUGUAAACGAUGGAUGCUAGCCGUUGGGGAGCUUGCUCUUCAGUGGCGCCGCUAACGCUUUAAGCAUCCCGCCUGGGGAGUACGGUCGCAAGAUUA
rnacentral:rRNA from 1 species